rnacentral:rRNA from 1 species
GUUUGAUCCUGGCUCAGGACGAACGCUGGCGGCGUGCCUAACACAUGCAAGUCGAGCGGAGGUAGACGGAUGGUAACUGAAGUUUACUUUAGCGGCGGACGGGUGAGUAACACGUGGGCAACCUGCCUCAGAGUGGGGGAUAACACCGAGAAAUCGGUGCUAAUACCGCAUAACAUACAGACACUGCAUGGUGACUGUAUCAAAGGAGAAAUCCGCUUUGAGAUGGGCCCGCGGCUGAUUAGCUAGUUGGUGAGGUAAAGGCUCACCAAGGCGACGAUCAGUAGCCGACCUGAGAGGGUGACCGGCCACACUGGAACUGAGACACGGUCCAGACUCCUACGGGAGGCAGCAGUGGGGAAUAUUGCGCAAUGGGGGAAACCCUGACGCAGCAACGCCGCGUGGAGGAAGAAGGUCUUCGGAUUGUAAACUCCUGUCUUCAGGGACGAAUAAUGACGGUACCUGAGGAGGAAGCCACGGCUAACUACGUGCCAGCAGCCGCGGUAAUACGUAGGUGGCGAGCGUUGUCCGGAAUUAUUGGGCGUAAAGGGCGCGUAGGCGGCUCUUUAAGUCAGAUGUGAAAACCCAGGGCUUAACUUUGGGAGUGCAUUUGAAACUGAAGGGCUCGAGUGCAGGAGAGGUAAGUGGAAUUCCUAGUGUAGCGGUGAAAUGCGUAGAUAUUAGGAGGAACACCAGUGGCGAAGGCGACUUACUGGACUGUAACUGACGCUGAGGCGCGAAAGCGUGGGGAGCAAACAGGAUUAGAUACCCUGGUAGUCCACGCUGUAAACGAUGGGAUACUAGGUGUGGGAGGUAUCGACCCCUUCCGUGCCGCAGUAAACGCAAUAAGUAUCCCGCCUGGGGAGU